UACAGAGGGUGCGAGCGUUAAUCGGAAUUACUGGGCGUAAAGCGCACGUAGUCGGCUUUGCAAGUCGGGUGUGAAAUCCCCGGGCUCAACCUGGGAACUGCAUCCGAGACUGCAUUGCUAGAGUAUGGGAGAGGGAAGCGGAAUUUCUGGUGUAGCAGCGAAAUGCGUAGAUAUCAGAAGGAACAUCAGUGGCGAAGGCGGCUUCCUGGACCAAUACUGACGAUCAGGUGCGAAAGCGUGGGGAGCAAACAGG
rnacentral:rRNA from 1 species